GCAAUUAUACAGCGAAACUGCGAAUGGCUCAUUAUAUAAGUUAUCGUUUAUUUGAUAGUACCUUACUACUUGGAUAACCGUGGUAAUUCUAGAGCUAAUACAUGCUAAAAAUCCCGACUUCGGAAGGGAUGUAUUUAUUAGAUUAAAAACCAAUGCCCUCUGGGCUCUCUGGUGAUUCAUGAUAACUUCUCGAAUCGCAUGGCCUUGCGCCGGCGAUGGUUCAUUCAAAUUUCUUCCCUAUCAACUUUCGAUGUUUGGGUAGUGGCCAAACAUGGUUGCAACGGGUAACGGAGGGUUAGGGCUCGACCCCGGAGAAGGAGCCUGAGAAACGGCUACUACAUCCAAGGAAGGCAGCAGGCGCGCAAAUUACCCAAUCCCGACACGGGGAGGUAGUGACAAUAAAUACUGAUACAGGGCUCUUUUGGGUCUUGUAAUUGGAAUGAGUACAAUUUAAAUCCCUUAACGAGGAACAAUUGGAGGGCAAGUCUGGUGCCAGCAGCCGCGGUAAUUCCAGCUCCAAUAGCGUAUAUUAAAGUUGUUGUGGUUAAAAAGCUCGAAAAUUUUUNAACANACCGGCGAGACAACCUUNGNAUCGGGGAAGGCUAAGGGCCGUCGAGCCUAUGCUAAUCCCGAGCAGAGCCGCUACGGCCUGUGUAGAGCACGCUAAGGNGUCGGUCCCGAGAUCCGUCUCGGGGCUUAAGGUACGUGCCAAUCCCCCGUGAAAACGGGGCCCUGCGGAAUAGCACCCGUCGUGCGAAGCUGCAGGGGACCCCCCCGAGAGGAGGGGUGUGUGAACACCACUGAACGGUUGUUGUCAAGUGGNCAGCAGCCGCGGUAAUUCCAGCUCCAAUAGCGUAUAUUAAAGUUGUUGUGGUUAAAAAGCUCGUAGUUGAACCUUGGGCCUGGCUGGCCGGUCCGCCUCACCGCGUGUACUGGUCCGGCCGGGCCUUUCCCUCUGUGGAACCCCAUGCCCUUCACUGGGUGUGGCGGGGAAACAGGACUUUUACUUUGAAAAAAUUAGAGUGCUCCAGGCAGGCCUAUGCUCGAAUACAUUAGCAUGGAAUAAUGAAAUAGGACGUGCGGUUCUAUUUUGUUGGUUUCUAGGACCGCCGUAAUGAUUAAUAGGGACAGUCGGGGGCAUCAGUAUUCAAUUGUCAGAGGUGAAAUUCUUGGAUUUAUUGAAGACUAACUACUGCGAAAGCAUUUGCCAAGGAUGUUUUCAUUAAUCAGGAACGAAAGUUAGGGGAUCGAAGACGAUCAGAUACCGUCGUAGUCUUAACCAUAAACUAUGCCGACUAGGGAUCGGACGAUGUUAUUUUUUGACUCGUUCGGCACCUUACGAGAAAUCAAAGUGC
rnacentral:rRNA from 1 species